AUGUGACCUCAAAUCAGGUAGGACUACCCGCUGAACUUAAGCAUAUCAAUAAGCGGAGGAAAAGAAACUAACAAGGAUUCCCCUAGUAACUGCGAGUGAAGCGGGAAAAGCUCAAAUUUAAAAUCUGGCGGUCUUUGGCUGUCCGAGUUGUAAUCUAGAGAAGUGUUAUCCGCGCUGGACCGUGUACAAGUCUCCUGGAAUGGAGCGUCAUAGAGGGUGAGAAUCCCGUCUUUGACACGGACUGCCAGGGCUUUGUGAUGCGCUCUCAAAGAGUCGAGUUGUUUGGGAAUGCAGCUCAAAAUGGGUGGUAAAUUCCAUCUAAAGCUAAAUAUUGGCGAGAGACCGAUAGCGAACAAGUACCGUGAGGGAAAGAUGAAAAGAACUUUGGAAAGAGAGUUAAACAGUACGUGAAAUUGCUGAAAGGGAAACGCUUGAAGUCAGUCGCGUUGUCCAGGGAUCAACCUUGCUUUUGCUUGGUGCACUUUCUGGUUGACGGGGUCAGCAUCAAUUUUGACUAUUGGAAAAAGAUUAGGGGAAUGUGGCAUCUUCGGAUGUGUUAUAGCCCUUGGUUGCAUACAAUGGUUGGGAUUGAGGAACUCAGCACGCCGCAAGGCCGGGUUUUAACCACGUACGUGCUUAGGAUGCUGGCAUAAUGGCUUUAAUCGACCCGUCUUGAAACACGGACCAAGGAGUCUAACAUGCCUGCGAGUGUUUGGGUGGAAAACCCGAGCGCGUAAUGAAAGUGAAAGUUGAGAUCCCUGUCGUGGGGAGCAUCGACGCCCGGACCAGACCUUUUGUGACGGUUCCGCGGUAGAGCAUGUAUGUUGGGACCCGAAAGAUGGUGAACUAUGCCUGAAUAGGGUGAAGCCAGAGGAAACUCUGGUGGAGGCUCGUAGCGAUUCUGACGUGCAAAUCGAUCGUCAAAUUUGGGUAUAGGGGCGAAAGACUAAUCGAACCAUCUAGUAGCUGGUUCCUGCC
rnacentral:rRNA from 1 species